rnacentral:lncRNA from 1 species
UGGGUGCUUAUUUAUUUUUCAGUAACAGAUUGUAUUUAAUAAAUACCAAGACUAUCACAAUGCCCAAGGGGGACAAAGAACAAAGUAUUAUAAUUUAAAUGUCUCUUUUAUUAAAAGUAUAGUGGAAAAUUAUCUGGACAUAUGCAUGAAUCAUGGAUUAGACAUCUCAGGAAGCUGCUUGCUUUUUUGUGUCUCUGCUUAGUGGGUGUCUACAGUGGAGAAAGACAGGAAAAUACCAAUACUACCUGUCUGGGAAACUCAGAAAAUUACCAUGAAGAUCAAAGGAGAAAAGAUAUAUUAAGACACCAGAACACACUGUGAUAGAGAGAAGAGAAGAAUGGCAAACUCCAGUUGGGUAACUGCCUUAUCCUAGUUAUCAAGGUGUGAUUUUCAACAGUAUUGUUUGUAUAAUUUUUAAGAUCUCUGAAAGAACUCUCUGGAACCUUAAGUAUCUGCGCAAUUGCAUUCAAUGCUAGCACUUUGCAUUGAGCAUACAGUACUGU